rnacentral:rRNA from 1 species
UACGUAGGGGGCAAGCGUUGUCCGGAAUCAUUGGGCGUAAAGCGCGUGUAGGCGGUUCGGUAAGUCUGCUGUGAAAGUCCAGGGCUCAACCCUGGGAUGCCGGUGGAUACUGUCGGGCUAGAGUACGGAAGAGGCGAGUGGAAUUCCUGGUGUAGCGGUGAAAUGCGCAGAUAUCAGGAGGAACACCAAUGGCGAAGGCAGCUCGCUGGGACGGUACUGACGCUGAGACGCGAAAGCGUGGGGAGCAAACAGG